rnacentral:misc_RNA from 1 species
GAUGAAGAACGCAGCGAAACGCGAUAUGUAAUGUGAAUUGCAGAAUUCAGUGAAUCAUCGAAUCUUUGAACGCACAUGGCGCCUUCCAGUAUCCUGGGAGGCAUGCCUGUCCGAGCGUCGUUUCAACCCUCGAGCCCCCGUGGCCCGGCGUUGGGGAUCUGCCCAGGCAGUCCCCGAAAACCAGUGGCGGACCCGUUACAGGCCCUUCCCUUGCGUAGUAGCAUUCGCCUCGCAUCGGGAGCCGGCGGGCUUCCAGCCUCUAAACCCCCAUCAAGUCCGCCCCGGCGGCACCAAGGUUGACCUCGGAUCAGGUAGGAAUACCCGCUGUACUUAAGCAUAUCAAUAAGCGGAGGA